AUUAGAAUUCAUAAUUACCUUCCCUUAAAAGGAAGCAUGAUCCUUCAUUCAGACAAACUUGAAUCCUCUUCACCUAAAGAUGCUUUAUGGUAGUCGAAGAAAAGUUUACAACAACAGCAACAGAUAUCCAUGCAAUUCAAUAUAAUUUGAAAAAAUUAUAAGUCCAAUCAUCAAUCCCAUAAAAGACAAAAAAGAAGAAAAGCUCGGAUAAAGACAGCAGAGGACCAAGCAAGACAGUAGAAAGAUCUCAGUCAGCUACAACAGUGGGAGGAUUGAUGACUACUGAGGUUUAACCUGGAUAAGUGUACAGUACUGCUAUCAACAGGAGGUCCCUACUGUUAGUUAGCUAUUCCAUCAAUGGCCAAGUCCUUUAACACAGUAGACUGACUCCUCAACAGAGUAACAUUGCAUAGAACCCUCAGUUGGGACACAUGUGUAGACAGGAACCACAAGAACAUAGCCCUAACAGAAACAUCAGUCGAUGCCCAAUUAACAUCAAUGCCCUAGUGAUAAUCCACCCAAGUGUGACCUACCAUGGAAUAUGCUUUUAGUGUGAGGAGGCCAGCAACUAGGUAGAACAUCAGCAAGCUAGAGGAGGUCCAACAUAGUCUAAAGAGAACAGCAAGAUUUGCCACCAGAGACUUCUAGCAGGGCACCAGUAGUGUAACAUCCAGGCUACAACAACUCUAAUGGCGAACACUACAUUACCGAUGUUAUACAGGAUAUCAUACAACCUUACAGACAUCUCAGAAGAUUACCAUCUAAAGCACAUAGAUGAAGGAUUGAUGGACAGUGUCCAAGGCAGGGGUCAAAAUGCAAAACUGCCAAAUCAAUAUGAAAGAUUUUAAAUUCCUUAAAAUAGGGUCAGGAAGAGAAAAUGCUUUAAAAACUGAUAUUCCAAACUGUGUACAUAUUUCACUCCACUUUGCUUCGCCCCACUCCACUCAGCUUUUUACCCCAAGGCUAGACAACUUGAUACACAUAAUAGAAAAUAUAUUAGGCAUCAAAUGGAAUAAUUCUAGGAUCCAAAUGUUCAAGUGAGGGUCACACUGAAUUGUUUUUUGGGGGCUUGCAUUUACAAGUGUUAAAAAUUUUGCUAGUUCUUUUCAUCUUCAUAUAAAAGAUGAUCAAAAAGUUAUCGAAAAACUAUUUUCUACAAAACAUGAAUGUUGACAAUGGUGACCUUGACCCUCAAUUUUUUUUCUUAAACACUUUAGAAAUCAUCCUUUAAUUACAAAUAUUAACAUCAAACAGUAUAUUUGACAUAUUGCAAAGAAAAGUAAAAUGUUAACACAUGGGUGCCACUCACCACUCACUCAACUUCCUUGCAACUCAGCUAAAAGUGUAAGGAAAAGAUUAUCCUCAUUGACAUUAAAUGGUGAUAACAGAUGUAUCCUAAUACUGGCAUUAAAGAUAUCAUUUGAAACAUGGCCUGUUGUUGAUGAAGAUUCCAAAGAUAGAGUCUAGAGAAACGAGGAGAAAAUGAAAUGGACUGGGAAUUGAUCCAGUCUGACAGUAUAUAUGAAUUAACAGAAAUAAAAUUCUGAAACUUCAGUACAGCAAAGCAGAGCUAGGACUUCAAUGGUUCAAGUCUGAGGUAAAAGUUUGAUUGAUUACCCGCCACCUGGUAUAAGACCAGUAAGAGGAUCAAAAGGUUCAAAUAUAUCAAGGACAUGAACCACUUCAAUUGUACAGAUAUCCUUUCACUGCCAUUCUGAUGCAAGUGUUUAGUAUACUAGUAACAAUCAAGUCAUUUCCAUCGCACAGUACUGUAGUCAUCUAAAAAUGAUCCUUAAUUUCACUAAUUAAUCUCUAACAGCUAUGUUUAAAUAGUGUCCUUGAGACCAAAAAAAAAAAUCUCCUUCCCACAUGAUACAGAUCCCCUUUGGGUCACCUGUAUCCCACGAACAUGUGACUAAAGUCUGCACUUUUAAAAUGACAGGAUAACUGCAGGGCCACGAGAUUCAAAAACCUCAGUGUCACAUGAUAUUAUGUAUCAUUAGAAUGUUAUACAUUUACACAUGGCUGGGUGGCACUAAGUACAGUAUGUACCUCCCACACAUAUAGCACAUACACGGGUCUCAGCUGUUGUACACUUUUAGCAUGGGCACUGGUUAUGUUGUAUAUUUAAAACUAAAUACAAACAAAGAAAUGUUCUUUAAAGUCCCUGUAUUGUGCAUAUAUAAAGCUAGUGAUGAAAGAGGUUUGGAUAGGCCUAUGUCAAAUAAUCUGGUUUAUUAGUCUGCAUCCCGCAGUUUCUCAUUAAGUUUUAUCGUUACAAUGGCCAUUGUCAUCUGCAGUCAGGAAGGAAAUAUUGGAGAUAGAAGAAAAAAAUCCUUAGUGAGUUUGAGUAGGUAAAUAUAUGGCUUAGUGUGUUAGACUGGUAACAUUAAGCUCACAGAAAACAAUGGUGAUAAUUCAGCUAACGAUCGCGAUCUCCUGUCAAAAGGCUGACAAUUCAUGAAUGAAAAAAUAUUCAAUUUUGAUACUUACCACAAAACUCCUCCCUGAUGUUGUAUUGUCUUUGACAGAAAUCGUACUUGUAGACUCCCUCCGAGAUUACCGCCAUCGAAAUCUAGUUUUUCUCAGUUUCCC